rnacentral:lncRNA from 1 species
GCAUGCCCAGAUGGUCCUAUUGGACCCCAGGUGGUCCUGCCAUAAAUGGAAAGACCCCAGAUGGAGGGGAAGGGAGUUCACAGCUGUCCCUAAGGCAACUUACCCUAUUCCAGAUUGAGCUUGUGGAAUCCCCAGAUGUAGCCACUUCUCUUCCUACCACAGUCAGUAGGAGGCAGCUGGUGUUGGUAUGGGAAAGCAGGAAGGUCAGAUCCCCAGGACAAGGAGAGCCUCGGCAGGCACAAGGGGCUUAUCUGACCAGUUGCCCACCCAAGAUGGACUGGCCAUGAGCAGGACUUAAGGUUCCAUAUAGGGUGCCAUAUUUGUUAUGCCCAAAGGGGGGGGUCAUCUGCCAGCCGCAAGAUGUGCCAAUAAUCAAGAGGCAAGGUGUUGGCUUCCCUUAUGUCAACCUUGAGUGGUGCAUGUAACAUGGGGACAUCGGAGCAUCCAGUCAGGCAGACGCCCUUCUGAGCGACGGAGCAGGUGGCACAUCCGAGAAAUAGCCCUGGAUGCUGUGUCUCAUUUGGCCCUUGAAGCCUGUAGGAAAAGAAGGUUCCCUCAGUUCUCCUCACGCAGCCUCAGGGGCCACACGACCCCUCACCCCUGACCUCUCCUCCCAGAGACUUCUCUCAAGUUUUCUCCACGUCCCACCCCUCAUGACUGAAGGCCCAAGUCCCUGGACACUGCCUGGAAGCCAUGCUGUUGUUGCUGGCCCUCCCACUCCUCUCAGGGGCUGCCUGCGGCACCCAUGAGACGCAGGGCCCAGGCGGCUCCUACUCCUACAUCAGGGGAGGAGCGGGGGAGACCCAGGCCAUCGGGUCUUCAUGGGGAUAAUGGGCCUCAUCAAGGGGUUCCCUGGCUAGUAAACGGCAGAAACCCGCUCAGGAAGACCACCAGCGUCUCCCCCGGUUCGUCACCUGCAGCUCUGUCUCCCCCACUGCUCCUUUGCUCUGUCCUCCAGGGCCGUCUCCCCGACAGGCCCCAUCCUCACCUCGCCCACCAGCUUCUGCCUCCAGGGGCCUCUCCUUCUUCCCCAACGCCCAAGCAGGUCACUGUCCAGAACACCCUCGCCGCGGCCUCUGCCCCAGCCACCUCACAGCGGUCCACCCUGGCCACUAGGACACACAGGAUAGUGUCAGAAGCAGCCAGGGAACCCAGAGUCUGACCACAGCAGGGCCAGACUCUUUGGGGACUGAGUGAGAGGGAGGGGCUGUGAUCACUGGUCUGAGGAUAGGUGACAAAGCCUCUGGGAGACAGAAGGGGACCUUAGGAAUCGGAAGAAGACCCAGUGGGGCAGCCCCAGGGCCAGAGAAUUGACACAUAAGGGAAAGACAUGGCCACUCCCGGGGGUUAAGCCUGCUGCCAGUCCAGCCAGCACUGGGUAGACGGCAGGAUGGACUUCCUAGCCCAGGGCAGGCAGAGCUGGAAGGUGAGAUGGAGCGGAGGCGUGGCGGAGGUGGGGCCAGCGGAGGCCGCCCCCCUCCCAGCCUCCAGCUGAGGUUUGGGGCGCAGUG